rnacentral:misc_RNA from 1 species
AAGUCGUAACAAGGUUUCCGUAGGUGAACCUGCGGAAGGAUCAUUACCGAGUCACCGUGUUCUGCACGGACUCCCACCCUUUGCAUACCUACCUGUUGCUUCGGCGGGACGUGGUUGAGAGGUCAUGCUUUUUGCGUGCCUCGAGACGCGGUCUCUUUUGCGGUCUUGCGGUCUUGUAACAGAGACGGCCAACGCAAAAGAGAAGCCUGCUCGCCGAGGGUUCAAACUCUUGAUACUUUUUGCAGUCUGAGAAAAAAAACAAAUCAAUCAAAACUUUCAACAACGGAUCUCUUGGUUCUG